rnacentral:miRNA from 1 species
GCGGGUUCGAUUCCCGCUGA